rnacentral:misc_RNA from 1 species
UCCGAGUUGACCCCGGCAGUCUCCCAUGAGUCCCCGGCAUAACCCGCUGGCAACAUAGGACAAGGGUUGCGCUCGUUGCGGGACUUAACCCAACAUCUCACGACACGAGCUGACGACAGCCAUGCACCACCUGUCACCGACCCCCGAAGGGACCCCCCAUCUCUGAAGGAUUUCCGGCGAUGUCAAACCCAGGUAAGGUGGGGAUGACGUUACA